rnacentral:rRNA from 1 species
UACAGAGGUCCCAAGCGUUGUUCGGAUUCAUUGGGCGUAAAGGGUGCGUAGGUAGCGUCGUAAGUCGGGUGUGAAAUCUCGGGGCUUAACUCCGAAACUGCAUUCGAUACUGCGGUGCUUGAGGACUGGAGAGGAGACUGGAAUUUACGGUGUAGCAGUGAAAUGCGUAGAGAUCGUAAGGAAGACCAGUGGCGAAGGCGGGUCUCUGGGCAGUAACUGACGCUGAGGAGCGAAAGCGUGGGGAGCGAACAGG